AGGACUAUCUGAAAGGCUUUGACAGGAGUGCCUCUUUAGUGAUUGAGGCAUCUUUUGCUCUGUCUGACCAAUUUUUUAGCACAAGAUUUUCUUCUCUUUUAAAUUAAAAAAAAAAAAAAAAAAAAAAAAGAUGUCUACCCAAAGACUGUCUGUGCUUUCUCCCCUUCUGCUCUUCUGCUUCUUCAGAGAGACUUUCUCCAUUUGUGACGGGACAACGUGGACAAAGGUCGGAUGGGAGAUUUUUCCAGAGGAAGUGCACUACCUGAAAGUUAAGGCCCCCCCAUCCAGCUGCCUACCUUAUCCUCUGGACACACUCUGCUGCAAUUUUGCUAACAUGGACCUCUUACAGAGCGCCUUACACCUCACUUACAUCUUAGUACAAGCUCUCUGCUUAAUCCUGUUUGCUUUAUCUGUGCAUUACCUAUGGAUGAAAUGGACAAGACACCAAAAAAAGCUGAAAAAGCAAGCUUCCUUAGAGAAACACGCUAAUGGCCUAGACCUGAGCCCAUCCAUCCAUGACAUUGAACAAAUCCUCUGCAGACUACUGGCCACAACAUCAAUGAUGACCAAGUUCCUGAAGCACGUGUCUCACCACUCUUCUGUCAAGAAAGCUAAGCAACAACGUAAAUUAAGGAAGAAGAAGAGUAAGGGAGAAGAGGAGCAGAAGAUCACUGCUAUCCCUAAGCUCGUGCAAAUGUAGCUUGGUCAAGUGCGGAGAGGACAAAAGCUCGUGCAAAUGUAGCUUGGUCAAGUGCGGAGUAUAAAAGAAAUCUAUUGCAGGGACUGUCUGAGGACACAAAGGUUUCUUUGGGGGCUUGCUUUUUUUUUUUUUGCCACAAUCAUUACAGAAAAAUUCUCAGACGAGCUCUGGGUUUCCGCUCAACUGAAAACGAAUCCACUCUUUCUAACGUGGCUCCCAGAAUAAACUGAGAACACCUUAACUGGAACUUCAGGGUGUAAUCUAGUGGAAAGGAAACUCUCAGAGAUGCUAAGAAACUUGGCUCAAGGAACCAGUAAUGAUGGAUGCAAGAUACCAACCAACAUGGGCAGCCUGACUCCUGAGCCCCUCCACAUCUGCUAAGUAUGACAGCAAGCUGCACUUUGGAACAAUCAGUCUAUGAUUUAAAAGAAUUUUCAUCAAACUCUAAUUACCAGCCCUUUAUUGUUAACACAGUUUUCAAAAUC
ensembl:antisense 4930469G21Rik RIKEN cDNA 4930469G21 gene